UUUAUAAAUUAUUUAGUGAUAAAAAAUUUCUUAUACGAAAAGGGGGUGAAUAUGGCAGAAAUUGUCAAGUAUGUUUAUGUUAUUAUUAUCUUUCUUUCAACAAUUCUUGUUGCAACCAAUAUUGAAGGGACAAUGAGUUGCUUUCACGAUGCAGAUUGUGUACAUAAAAGGUGUCAACUUCCUCAAAUACCAAAGUGUGUGGGCAAAAAAUGUAGAUGCAGAGGUCAAUACCAGGCCAACCCAAUGGGGGAGGAGUGGCCUAGAUAGUGAGAUAGGGAACCAGGGACAUCGCGCUGCAUUCUUUUUCUAGGGUAAUGUGCAACAGGUAAAAUACAACUUCAGUGCUUGCAGAUCGGGUUUUUAUGUACGACACACUUCAGAAAGGAUUUGGUGACCGAUGAUUGAAAUUCCUAGAGAAAUGUUGUUUCUUUUGAUCAAUUAAAUGAUGUUGUUGACUUUUGUUUUCCACCUUAAACAGUUAGUGUUCAUAACAGCUAUUCAUUAUGGAGAGUAAAAUUGGUAUUAAAAGUUAGAGAGGUUAAACUGCAUUCACCUACCUAAGAAGACACGCACGGUAUAGAGAGGUUGUAACUUAUAAAUGUUAGAGGACGGAAAUAAUGGACAAAGUUUAAUUGUAUAUAGAACUAGUUAAUAUUAGUUAAAUUGGAUUACAUUUUAACUAUUAUACAUAUUUAUGUGAAAAUUAAAUUACACAAAGAAGAGUAAAUAUAUUGUAAAUAUGCAACCACUAAUUAC